GAAGCUCGCCUGAAACAGCAUUUUAAUUUGGCAUAAGUUCUCGUAUAGUGUUCUCGUGGAAUCAUGUCCUUAUUAAACAAUAUCUGGCAUUGGAUGAUCAGGAAACCCAAAGUCCCAGUCUGGGACUCCCAGAUUGUCCAAAAGAUGUUUUUCUUGUAAAAAAUGUGAUGGAUAAUUACUUUUGGAUUAUUCCAUCUCUUCAGAAAUAUGCACAAGAAAGAAUACAUUUUGAGCGUUCAGGUGAAUAUCUUAUUCGAAGAAUACCCAAUAUUUCUGAGCAACAACCUUCAUGAAUUGCUGAUGAUCGGUGAUUGAGCUGUGAUUACAGAUCUACCAAACUGUACUAAAAGACUUUGUAAAUAUUUUAUUAAACGAAUAUUUAUUACAA